rnacentral:rRNA from 1 species
UUGUGGUUAAAAAGCUCGUAGUUGGAUCUCGGCGGACUGAGGGCGGUUUGCUUGCUAGUAUUACUGCCCUAUAGUCCGUAGUUUUGCCAGAGGUUUCGGGGUGCUCUUAAUCGAGUGUCCCGGGAUGCUGGCAGGUUUACUUUGAAAAAAUUAGAGUGCUCAAAGCAGGCUAUUACGCCUGAAUAUUCGUGCAUGGAAUAAUAGAAUAGGAAGUCGUUUCUAUUUUGUUGGUUUUCGGAAAUCGACUUAAUGAUUAAUAGGGACAGUCGGGGCAUUUGUAUUCAAACGACAGAGGUGAAAUUCUUGGACCGUUUGAAGACAAACUACUGCGAAAGCAUUUGCCAAGAAUGUUUUCAUUAAUCAAGAACGAAAGUUAAAGGUUCGAAGGCGAUUAGAUACCGCCCUAGUUUUAACCAUAAACGAUGCCAGCUAGCGAUCUGCGGACGUUUUUUUUGUAGACUCCGCAGGAAGCUUCCGGGAAACCAAAGCAUUUGGGUUCCAGGGGAAGUAUGGUUGCAAAGCUGUAACUUAAAGGAAUUGACGGAAGGGCACCACCAGGAGUGGAGCCUGUGGCUUAAUUUGACUCAACACGGGAAAUCUCACCAGGCCCGGACACUGGAAGGAUUGACAGAUUGAUAGCUC